GUCUUCGGAUCGUAAAGCUCUGUUGUUAGGGAAGAACAAGUACCGUUCAAAUAGGGCGGUACCUUGACGGUACCUAACCAGAAAGCCACGGCUAACUACGUGCCAGCAGCCGCGGUAAUACGUAGGUGGCAAGCGUUAUCCGGAAUUAUUGGGCGUAAAGCGCGCGCAGGCGGUCCUUUAAGUCUGAUGUGAAAGCCCACGGCUCAACCGUGGAGGGUCAUUGGAAACUGGGGGACUUGAGUGCAGAAGAGGAGAGCGGAAUUCCACGUGUAGCGGUGAAAUGCGUAGAGAUGUGGAGGAACACCAGUGGCGAAGGCGGCUCUCUGGUCUGUAACUGACGCUGAGGCGCGAAAGCGUGGGGAGCGAACAGGAUUAGAUACCCUGGUAGUCCACGCCGUAAACGAUGAGUGCUAAGUGUUAGAGGGUUUCCGCCCUUUAGUGCUGCAGCAAACGCAUUAAGCACUCCGCCUGGGGAGUACGGUCGCCAGACUGAAACUCAAAUGAAUUGACGGAC
rnacentral:rRNA from 1 species